rnacentral:rRNA from 1 species
CCACUGAGUAAUUAAAGGGCCGCGGUAAUUUGACCGUGCGAAGGUAGCAUAAUCAAUAGUCUUUUAAUUGAAGGCUGGAAUGAAAGGCUGGACAAGAAGCUAACUGUCUUUAGGGUAUUUAUUGAAUUUUACUUUUGAGUGAGAAGGCUUAAAUUGUUUAAAGGGACGAUAAGACCCUAUAAAACUUUAUAAAUGUAAAUUAAAUCUUAAAUUGUGACGUUAAAGGGAUUAAGUUCUAUUUUAAUAUGUUGGGGCGACAGGAAUAUAAAUUUAACUGUUCUUGAGGUUAAAUAAUUAUUUUUAGGUUUUAUUGAUCCUUUAUUAAGGAUUAUAAGAUGAAGUUACUUUAGGGAUAACAGCGUAAUUUUUUCUGAGAGUUCUUAUCGACGAAAGUAGUUGCGACCUCGAUGUUGAAUUAAGAUUUCUUUAGUGUGUAGCAGCAUUAGGAGUAGGUCUGUUCGACCUUUAAAAUCUUA